AGUUUCCAGAACGCAAUGUCAGACCUGAGGUGACAGAAAAGGGAAAACGUGAGAGAGUGUCUUCUUCCCUGAAGAGAGGUGGGCCUGAGGCUUGACAGUGGCGCUGCCUGAGUGACCUAGCCGCUGGGCUGGGCCCUGGACAGCUGAUCCCAGGUUCCUGCACUUGUCGCCACCCUUCCGUAGUCCACAGGCCUGAUGGCGGCGGCUGAGCCGAUGGGCCCGGCACAGGAACACGAGCUGAACAACUACUCAUGCAAGAAAGCACAUUCAUAAGAACCAGAAAACUAGAUGAGUGAUCGGAGUACCUGAUUUUAACAUAAUAUCAAGAAGAAAGGCAUUGAAGUGGGUAGGAAAGGUAGUCUUGCAUUGCUUAAACCACCCCUUUCCCAUCCCUUGGCAGACCAACAUGCAGAGAAAAAUCUGUGUGCUUGUAGAAGAGAGCACGAAGUGAGUGUGGGACUGCAUUGGAACCUGGUGCUGCC
rnacentral:lncRNA from 10 species